CCAACACUGUCCGCAAACUGUUGAGAGACUGGUGAACGGGUGAUUGGGUCACGCACCCCGGGUUUUACUGUGGAAAAUCGUGCCCUAGGACGUUCACGGACGUCGGGGAUUCCCAGUUUUUUAAGCGGGAUUUUCAUUGGAUUUUGGAGGAUUUAAAAUUUUAUUUUAGAAUUUGUAACGAUUGAAGUACAGAGUUGAAAGGGCCUGGAGUGGAAAGGUGUACUUUAGGGACACGUACGCAAAAGAGAGUUGAAUGAUAUAAAUUGAUUUAGGAGCCUGAUGGGGUCUUCUCUGGACGAAACGUUGGGCGAAAAUUGAUACAAAAAUUGAUACGGCCAAUUGUUACAAAAAAUUGAUAAUAAAAAUGAGUCAAUACGUGCCAGGAGUGAAUGGAAUUUCUCGGAACAGAAGGAAAUUCACGGGGAAUGGGGAUUCGAAUUGCGGAUCUCUUGAUUAUGCAUCAUGCGGUUUUUAUCAACCACUGAUUAACGAGUUUGAUGUCCUAUUGGUAGCACUGAUGGUUCGUCACUGUGGUAUCUAAUUUCACAAUCACGAUGCAGUUGCGUCACAUUGUGAAUGAAUUGUUCGUUCACCGUCUUUCUUCAAUUUUUUUGCAAUGAAAAUGAGUUUCCAUUGUCUUUAUCAGUUGAUUGUCUCUUAACUGAGUGAUUCUACGUGGAAAUGACCGAAAACAUUUUUUAUCAAGAAUUUUCUCCUCUACAAAAAACUCUCUAUCCAAUUUUUCCUGUUAUCACCCAUUCCCGAGAUAAUUGAUCGACUGAUAAACUCGAAAGAUAUUUAAUGAAUUUAGAAAAUAUUUCACCAGGCGAUUAUGCCAGUAAGGAUCAGUAAGGACUAGGUCUAGGCGAAAAUGUUAUAGAACCUUUUUUGUAGACAACAAAAUUCUCUACAAAAAUGGUUCUGGGAUAUUUUCCACCAAAAUCACUCGUUGACGAAGUAAUUCAUGUUCAAGAAUUCACAUCGUUAAUAGAGGAAUAGAAUUGGGUCAACUCAGGCGAAAGUUGUCUGCCCCGAAAAAAAAAAAAGAAAAAAUCCCAGUUCCCCGGGCUCAUGACUCUCAAAACCCAACCGAGGGUCUGAAGUUUCCGAGGAGUUAAGCCGAUCAUUGUCAUGAUAAUACCGAGUAAGGGCUUUCCACAUUAUCCGGAAGGCAACAAUGAAAUACCUCUUCCAACUCCCCGUUGUUACGCUGAACUAACCCAUCAUUCCCCGAAUUCCCCAGCACGACAGAUGGAUUAACCCUCCCCCCCCUCCCCUCCACACACCACCCAACAACUGAAUCUCAUCGAAUAGCUGAAAUAAAAAAUCAUAAAAUCAUUGUAUUCAUUUUUCCCUCUGGGUUGCAAUGAAUUUUCUUUUGAAAUUCAAAUUAAUCUGAAGGCAUUCGAAAUCCAAUAACACGACUGUCGGAUCUUAUCGAUGAUACAAACGAUUGUAUCGACUGGGUAAAUAAAUUCAAUUGUUUUCUCGGUGGAAUUGAUAACGAAAUCUUAUCCCAUACCGAGAAUGAAACACCCGGGAAUUCCUAGAUAUUGAGUGACCAAUUAUCGAUUACUGACGGAGGGGAUUCUCUAUCAAUGAGAUCGAGACAAUGUUAUCGUUGAUAAGUUUUAGAAGAAUUUCUUUCACCCAAUUUUCCCCCGGUUUUUUUUAUUAGUUACACGUGAACGGAUUAAUUUAUCGCAUGUUUUUGGCUAACAUGAGAUUAAGUGAAGACCAAACGCAGCA